GACGAACCGUGCGAACGUUGUUCGGAUUCACUGGGCUUAAAGGGCGCGUAGGCGGGGGAUCAAGUCGGUGGUGAAAUCUUUCGGCUCAACCGGAAAACCGCCUCCGAUACUGGUCCCCUCGAGGAGGGUAGGGGCAUGCGGAACUUCGGGUGGAGCGGUGAAAUGCGUAGAUAUCAUUUGGAACGCCAAUGGUGAAAACAGCUCGCUGGGGGUGUGCUGACGCUGAGACACGAAAGCCAGGGGAGCAAACGGG
rnacentral:rRNA from 1 species